UUUCCGGUGGCUAUGUCGGAGGGGUCACACCCGUUCCCAUCCCGAACACGGAAGUUAAGCCCUCCAGAGCCGAUGGUACUCCGCGGGAAACCGCGUGGGAGAGUAGGUCGCUGCCGGAUUCUUUU
rnacentral:rRNA from 1 species